rnacentral:rRNA from 1 species
GGAUCAAUGCCAGAUAAAGUGCGGUGCUGCAGGGUGCCGUACCAAAGAUAGCUUCGGCCUUCGGCGAGAGACGGNUCCGCGGCCCAUUAGCUUGUUGGCGGGGUAAAGGCCCACCAAGGCUACGAUGGGUAGCUGGUCUGAGAGGAUGAUCAGCCACACUGGGACUGAGACACGGCCCAGACUCNUACGGGAGGCAGCAGUGGGGAAUCUUGCGCAAUGGGCGAAAGCCUGACGCAGCAACGCCGCGUGCGGGAGGAAGGCCUUCGGGUUGUAAACCGCUUUCAGGGGAGACGAAGCUUCCAGGGUGAAUAGCCCUGUGGAGUGACGGUAUCUUCAGAAGAAGUCCCGGCUAACUACGUGCCAGCAGCCGCGGUGAUACGUAGGGGACAAGCGUUGUCCGGAAUUAUUGGGCGUAAAGCGCGUGUAGGCGGCCAAGUAAGUCUUACGUGAAAUCCUGAGGCUCAACCUCAGGCCUGCGCGGGAUACUGCUUGGCUAGAGUCCGGAAGAGGAGAGUGGAAUUCCUGGUGUAGCGGUGGAAUGCGCAGAUAUCAGGAGGAACAUCCGUGGCGAAGGCGGCUCUCUGGGACGGUACUGACGCUGAGACGCGAAAGCGUGGGGAGCGAACAGGAUUAGAUACCCUGGUAGUCCACGCCGUAAACGAUGGGCGCUAGGUGUGGGAGGUGUCGAUUCCUUCCGUGCCGAAGCUAACGCAUUAAGCGCCCCGCCUGGGGAGUAC